rnacentral:rRNA from 1 species
AACUUAGACAAUGGCGCAAGCCUGAUCUAGCCAUGCCCGUGUGUGAUGAAGGUCUUAGGAUCGUAAAGCACUUUCGCCAGGGAUGAUAAUGACAGUACCUGGUAAAGAAACCCCGGCUAACUCCGUGCCAGCAGCCGCGGUAAUACGGAGGGGGUUAGCGUUGUUCGGAAUUACUGGGCGUAAAGCGUACGUAGGCGGAUUGGAAAGUUGGGGGUGAAAUCCCAGGGCUCAACCCUGGAACUGCCUCCAAAACUAUCAGUCUAGAGUUCGAGAGAGGUGAGUGGAAUUCCAAGUGUAGAGGUGAAAUUCGUAGAUAUUUGGAGGAACACCAGUGGCGAAGGCGGCUCACUGGCUCGAUACUGACGCUGAGGUACGAAAGUGUGGGGAGCAAACAGGAUUAGAUACCCUGGUAGUCCACACCGUAAACGAUGAAUGCCAGUCGUCGGGCAGUAUACUGUUCGGUGACACACCUAACGGAUUAAGCAUUCCGGCUCGGGAGUACG